GCAGGUGCUAAUGCAUUGGCGAGAUAGACAGACUCCAAAUCUGUUGCCUUAAUUGGAUGUGGAGGUUCGAAUCCUUCCGCCUGCG
rnacentral:tRNA from 1 species